GGUCUCUUGGUGGUCAAAAGUACACAACUAUCCAGAUCUAGUGUGAGGACGGAGAGUGAAAGACUGGAAAAAGUGAUAAUUUGUUCAAAGCUGUCGCGAAAAAGUGAAUUCACGGACGAGAUUGUGGAAAAAUGAACGUGAUUCCAUUAGAUGAACCAAGUGAACCGAGGUGCAGUAAUCUCAGCGUGCCUCUGUUCGGAUUUGAAAACAUUGAACACUGCCUCAGAAAACAUUUAGCCUAUUUAUCGCGCAAACAGUGGACGGCAUUAGCCACUGAUGACAUCACCUCGGAUGUCGUCAAUCUGCUGACCAAGAUGUGCCGAGUACUCAUAGAGCACAUUAGCAGCUUAGUGUUUAAAGUCGUACGCCCACAGGUUUUAUGCUGCCCACAUAAUCAUGAUCGUGGAGACAAAGAAAGCUCCGCUGACCGGAUGAAUGCUGAACCUCUGCUUGAUGGGUGCAGUUACUGCAGGGUGACAGAGGAUGAUAUUCAGGCCAGCCUCAGAAACAUCUUUGAUAACUGUUUUGGUUGGGUCUUGGGUUUUGGGCAACGGCGGUCUUGUGACUCAGACAAACUACUGACUUUAUUUUCAGUGUCGAUUGCAAAGAAUGUAAACUCAGCCCUGAGUCGUAUCACAGGGUCCACAUCCUUGCAAUCAGAUAGGUCCAGAUCCCCAACAAACCUUGUUGGGAUGGUUUACAGUGUAGUCAACAUUUUAGAAGACUAUGCAAAGACCUUAGCUCCCCUUUCUGUAGAUGGUGAGAGUAGCAGCGACAGCAUUGUUGAAAUGCCAGACUCUGAGGAAGAUAACGACUUUAAACCAGAGUCUGUAGAGACUUUUAAAAGCACACAGACUCAAGCUUGUGUAGGCAAGGAACAUUUGGUUAACAAGGGCCACAGUGAUACAUUUCAAAUCAUUGAUGUCCAAAAUCUUGACAGUGAGAGCUCAGAGAGUGAUGAAAAAUGUAGUGAUGCCCUGCAGUGUUCGUCUGGGACACUUCCUACGCCUACAGAGAUCGAUACCUUUCUCAAUUUGUGUCUUGCAAAUUUAGUCAUUCACAUUUCUGAGAAAACACAAACAUUUGCUGUAAAGUUAAAUUGUCAGCAGAUAGUGACUGAUAUAAGAGGGAAGAUUGAGGGAGACUUGACUCCUCUAAAAACUGUAAAAAACUUGUACAUCAUAAUGUACAAAGACCUGUGUCGCAAAUUUGGAUCCAAAUACGUGCUUCCGUUUGUAAUGGAAAAGGCUGAUGCGACUUUUGUAGCAGCCGUUGUGGAGCUAUUAAAAGCAGAGCUCAAAAAAUCGGCCAGCCCCAGUAACGUGCUGAGAAGUUUAGAAAGUAACAAAAGCGUUUCUCCAGCCGGUAAGAACAAAACGCAACAAUCUGCUACUGAGCAAAAUGGAUCCACAGAUUCCCAGAAAAACAGGCCGAGAAACCGUAUCGUUAGGGCCCUCACUUCUUUUUUUAGAUCUUUGAGGACGCUAUUCAGUUGCUGCAUGAGCAGUGAGUCAGAAACAGAGUAAUUAUCUUCAUAAUUACUCAAUGCAUGCUCAGUGAUCCAGGUAAGUCAAUCCCAAG
ensembl:lncRNA